rnacentral:antisense_RNA from 1 species
AACUUGUUAUCAGAUGAAAUUGUACAGUUUCUACCAUAAAAUCCUUCUGCACAUUUACAAUAAUAUCCAUCGUUGCCUAUAUUAAAACAUUCACCACUAUUCUGGCAUAUUGGUUCUAACUGAGUAUCACAAAUUCCCUCGCAUCCUGAACAUUCCACAACCUGUCUUAACUGAUUAGAUGACGGACAUGCAGUACCUCCAUUCAUUGCCUCCCUCACAACUACUCUAUAUCUUGAUUUGGUUCCCUCG